rnacentral:rRNA from 1 species
UACAGAGGGUGCAAGCGUUGUUCGGAAUUAUUGGGCGUAAAGGGCGCGUAGGCGGUGCGGUAAGUCUGUAGUGAAAUCUCUGGGCUCAACUCAGAGUCUGCUGCAGAAACUGCCGUGCUUGAGUGUGGGAGAGGUGAGUGGAAUUUCCGGUGUAGCGGUGAAAUGCGUAGAUAUCGGAAGGAACACCUGUGGCGAAAGCGGCUCACUGGACCAUUACUGACGCUGAUGCACGAAAGCGUGGGUAGCAAACAGG